ACCCCUGGGAUAGCUCGAUCAGUAGAGCAUGAGCCUCUUAAUCUCAGGGUUGUGGGUUCGAGCUCCAUGUUGGGUG